rnacentral:tRNA from 1 species
GGAGAGGUGGCCGAGUGGCUUAAGGCGGCAGAUUGCUAAUCUGCUAUGGUUGGUCAACAAUCAUCACGGGUUCGAAUCCCGUCCUCUCCUCCA